rnacentral:rRNA from 1 species
UGUAGUCUGCAACCCGACUACACGAAGCCGGAAUCGCUAGUAAUCGCGGAUCAGAAUGCCGCGGUGAAUACGUUCCCGGGUCUUGUACACACCGCCCGUCACACCAUGGGAGUCGGAAAUGCCCGAAGUCAGUGACCCAACCGGAAGGAAGGAGCUGCCGAAGGUGGAGCCGGUAACUGGGGUGAAGUCGUAACAAGGUAUC